CCUUUGAGAAAAGGACUGUGUCUUUGCAUCACUUGAUUCUUGCCUUUGGCAAAAUCCUUGGUAUCUAGUAGAAGUUCAUGACUAUAUGCCAUCAUUUGGGGAAGCUGGAUGAAGAAUCCACAGCACUCUACAGUUUUUUCAACUUCCUGUAUCCCUCUAGGCUGCAGUGUCUUGGUGGGCACCUGGUUCACCGUGGACUCCAACACCUGUAGCAGUACCUGGCACGUUGAAAGUCCUCAAUA